UGAUCGCCGGGGCCGCCCCCCGCGCGGCGAGCCUCUCGCGGGCGCUCCCAGCUGCACGUGCUGCCCCGCCGCCGCCCUCGCCAGACAAAGAAGGCCUUCCUGAGCGCCUUUCUUGGUUGCUUCCUCACUGUCAGAGGCCAGAAUGGAGGCGUGGACAGUGGUCUGGUUGGAAUUAGGAGCAGUGUGAGCAGAACUGUGGGGCUUGGCCUCCCUUCCAGUGAAGGAAGGAGCUCUGUUGGAAAUGCAAGAGUCCAGUGAUGGGUGGAGCAUGAACUAAUGGCCCAGUCUUCCUUCAAGAUUCUGCAGUUUUUGAAACACACUGGUGAUCCAGCAUGCGAUGAAUAGCUCUGACUUUCCCAAGGAGUCCUUACAUCUACUAUUUGGCUUCCUGGGACAGUGUGUGACCCCAGGGAAAGAGAAGACCCCUGGAGCUGCCUUGAUGUCUUGCUGAAGGUGAUGUAAUUUGGCUCUGCUUCUCACACUCCAGCCUCUCACCACUGGACUGUGUUAGGCAUGGUUUGGGAAUCUAUUCCUGGGACUCUUAGUUGCUGCAUCACGUGGUAGAAUAGAACUGUGGAGAAA